rnacentral:rRNA from 1 species
UACGAAGGGGGCUAGCGUUGCUCGGAAUCACUGGGCGUAAAGCGCACGUAGGCGGAUUGCUAAGUCAGGGGUGAAAUCCUGGAGCUCAACUCCAGAACUGCCUUUGAUACUGGCGAUCUUUGAGUCCGGGAGAGGUGAGUGGAACUGCGAGUGUAGAGGUGAAAUUCGUAGAUAUUCGCAAGAACACCAGUGGCGAAGGCGGCUCACUGGCCCGGUACUGACGCUGAGGUGGCGAAAGCGUGGGGAGCAAACAGG